GAUGAACGCUGGCGGCGUGCCUAAUACAUGCAAGUCGAGCGAACAGACGAGGAUCUUGCUCCUCUGACGUUAGCGGCGGACGGGUGAGUAACACGUGGAUAACCUACCUAUAAGACGGGGAUAACUUCGGGAAACCGGAGCUAAUACGGGAGAAGAUAUUGAAGCGCAUGGUUGAAUAGUGAAAUACGGUGUUGCUGUCACUUAUAGAUGGAUCCGGGCCGCAUGAGAUAGUUGGUAAGGUAAAGGCUUACCAAGGCAACUAUGCGUAGCCGACCUGAGAGGGUGAUCGGCGACCCUGGAAGUGAGACACCGUCCAGAGUCCUGCGGGAGGCAGCAGUAGGGAAUCUUCCGCAGUGGGCGAGAGCUUGACGGAGCAACGGCGAGUGAGAGAUGAAGGUCUUCGGAUCGUAAAACUCUGUUAUUAGGGAUGAACAAAUGUGUAAGUAACUAUGCACGUCUUGACGGUAACUAAUCAGAAAGCCACGGCUAACUACGUG
rnacentral:rRNA from 1 species